AGCGAACGCUGGCGGCAGGCCUAACACAUGCAAGUCGAACGGACCCUUCGGGGUUAGUGGCGGACGGGUGAGUAACACGUGGGAACGUGCCUUUAGGUUCGGAAUAGCUCCUGGAAACGGGUGGUAAUGCCGAAUGUGCCCUUCGGGGGAAAGAUUUAUCGCCUUUAGAGCGGCCCGCGUCUGAUUAGCUAGUUGGUGAGGUAACGGCUCACCAAGGCGACGAUCAGUAGCUGGUCUGAGAGGAUGACCAGCCACACUGGGACUGAGACACGGCCCAGACUCCUACGGGAGGCAGCAGUGGGGAAUCUUGCGCAAUGGGCGAAAGCCUGACGCAGCCAUGCCGCGUGAAUGAUGAAGGUCUUAGGAUUGUAAAAUUCUUUCACCGGGGAGGAUAAUGACGGUACCCGGAGAAGAAGCCCCGGCUAACUUCGUG
rnacentral:rRNA from 1 species